GGACGGGUGAGUAACGCGUGGGUAACCUGCCUCAUACAGGGGGAUAACCAGUUAGAAAUCGACUGCUAACACCGCAUAAUAUAGCGAAACCGCAUGAUUUUGCUAUCAAAUAUUUAUAGGGUAUGAGAUGGGCCCGCGUCUGAUUAGCUAGUUGGUGGGGUAAAAGCCUACCAAGGCGACGAUCAGUAGCCGGCUUGAGAGAGUGACCGGCCACAUUGGGACUGAGACACGGCCCAAACUCCUACGGGAGGCAGCAGUGGGGAAUAUUGGACAAUGGGGGAAACCCUGAUCCAGCGAACCGCCGCGUGAGUGAAGAAGUAUUUCGGUAUGUUAAAGCGUCUAUCAGCAGGGAAGAUAAUGACAGUACCUGACUAAGAAGCCCCGGCUAACUACGUGCCAGCCGCUGC
rnacentral:rRNA from 1 species